rnacentral:tRNA from 1 species
GUUGAGGUAGUCUAACCAGAUAUUUGAUUUCGACUCAAAAGAACUUAACUAUAAGCCUCAAUA